GAUGAAGAACGCAGCGAAAUGCGAUAAGUAGUGUGAAUUGAAGAAUUCAGUGAAUCAUCGAAUCUUUGAACGCACAUUGCGCCCCUCGGUAUUCCGUGGGGCAUGCCUGUUCGAGCGUCAUUUACCCCUCAAGCACUGCUUGGUGUUGGGCGUCUGUCCCGCUUCGCGCGCGGACUCGCCCCAAAGGUAUUGGCAGCGGUCGUGCCAGCUUCUCGCGCAGCACAUUGCGCUUCUCGAGGCGGUCGAUCGGCGUCCACGAAGCUCACCUCCACCGUUUGACCUCGGAUCAGGUAGGGAUACCCGCUGAACUUAAGCAUAUCAAUAAGCGGAGGA
rnacentral:misc_RNA from 1 species